UACCCGCUGAAUUUAAGCAUAUAAUUAAGCGGAGGAAAAGAAACUAACUAGGAUUGGUCUAGUAACGGCGAGUGAAGCGCCAUCAGCCCAGCUUGUGAAUCGUCACUCGUGACGAAUUGUGGUAUGCAGGCCUUUUCGCUAAGCUCGCGGACUAAGUCCCCUGGAAUGGGGCAGCAUAGAGGGUGAGACUCCCGUGUGUCUGCUUGCGUGAGGAUUGGCCGAAGAGUCGAGUUGUUUGGGAUUGCAGCUCUAAGUGGGUGGUAAAUUCCAUCCAAGGCUAAAUAUUGGUGAGAGACCGAUAGCGUACAAGUACCGUGAGGGAAAGAUGCAAAGUCGCGCGAGAGCGCUGUCAAAGAGUACCUGAAAUUGCUGAAAAGGAAGCGAAGGAAACCAGUGUAAGCCAUUCCGCACUUCCCCGAUUGCUUGCGGUCGGGGCGCUGCUGCUGGUGUUGUUCCGGUUGGCGCCCUGCAGCGGAUGAUUAUGGCGCUGCAGGUUGUUGAUUUGGACCAAAUGGUUUUCUUCUCCCCGUCUUGAAACACGGACCAAGG
rnacentral:rRNA from 1 species